UUCUAAAACUUUAAAGAUCUAAAUAUACAAGCAUGAUAUUUAAAGUAUUCAAUAUAAAACAGAAUAAAAAACCUGUAUAGCCUGUAUAAUAAUUGCUUAUUCAGGACAAGAAAAUGUUAACUGAUAGAGCAGGACUUACACUUUUUUAUUAAUGCUACCCACAGUUCAAAUGUAACAGAACAUAGAACAUACAGAAAGACAUGUCACUCUUUCCUGAACACAUGAUUUAGAAUCCAUCACAAGUAUAUAUCCACUACGGCUAAAACAUAACAUGUCUGUUUGUUUCAUAUCACACAUCUACAUGUAGUUAUUGUUGAACUUAAGGUAGGGGCUUGGAUAUUACCGGCAUUGGACUGGAUGAACACAUGAUUUUUUUUCCAGAUAAACAUGUAAAUGGAACCACACAUAUGUUUAAAUGCCCCAAUAACAAACCAUGAUUGGCAUGAACCUAUCAUGUUUGUUAAAAAAAACUACUAUAUAUAUGAGCAAACAUAAAACCUUCACACUUCUAAAACACAUCACAACUAAUUUGCAGAAUCAAAAACCAACCAGAAAGACAAAUUCGAAGUACCCAAGAAUAAUGUGAUCAGCAGAACUGAUGUCAACAAAACUAGAUCAACAGCAAGGAGAAGAUUAUUUGGGAUAUCUAGUAAAGAAACCAGAGGAAGUCAGAUGUUAAUGGAAUUGCCCAAGUCCAAUAAAUCUGAAAUGGUCAAUAAAUAUGUUGCAUCAACAGUAGAAGAAAACAAAGAAAUAAACCAUAUUAAGCAGCUGCUAGGUGAGAGCCACCCUGAUUACUUAGAAUAUUUCAAGGCACAGGCUAAAGUUGGCAGAUGUAGUAGCACAACAACUGCAGAGGCAGCAUUGAGUAAAUGCUAUGCAAAAAUCCAAACAGCAGUCAGUAAAAAACACAAUGAGACGAAACAACUUUUAAUUGAAAAGCCGGACAACAAACUGGCUUUUUUCAACAAACAAUUGGCUGAAAAGCUCAUGAAGAGCUGGAAUUUCUACUUUUAUUAGCUCACAUUCAAGGGUUGAUUUGCAAUUGACCAAUACCAUGUACAUGUAUAAUAAUCCAAAGACAAAAAUAUUUUCUUCUUGAACACUUUCACUACUGCAUUUUUAAAACAUUGAAAGUUGAAGCGAAGUUUUUACCUUAACUUUAAUUAAAGAGUGUCAGCAAAUUAUGAUUAUCAUGUUGAAUGUUAAAGAACCCGACAAAUGUUUUUAUUUUUUUUCUUAACCUUGGGUAGCUGUAUUGCAUACCCUGGGUCCCUGUCAAUACAGCUCCUCAAUGUUCUGUUCUCUAUAUUUUUUAUGAUUCAAAACAAGUUCAAGAGGAAGUUUGAAGCAUAUAUAUUCAUACAAAAAGUUACAAAUUGGUAAUUAU